rnacentral:sRNA from 1 species
AGGGCUGCUGCGGGCCACUGGGCGCUGGCUGCUCCCGCUCGCCUCUUGGGGUGCGCUCAGCUCCAGCCCAACUCCGCCAACUCCGCCAGCUCCAGCAUCGCUCCAGCCCGAUUCCAGUCCAACUCCAGCCCGGUUCCAGCCCAGUUCCAGCCCGAUUCCAACCCAGCUCCGGCCCGGCUCCGGUUCUCCACCACGCCUCUCUGUCGACGCGACUGAGCAGCUUCGCAGGAAAAUCCCAGAAACCUUUGCAAAAAGCUUACAAUGAAAUUUAAGAAGUUCUACGAUUUCGGCGCCAUUUUCGAGUGGAGUGAGAGGUUGUUUAGUUUUUUCCAGUGUGAAACUCGACAUUGGAAAAGUUUGGCUCCAAGGUGCGGACGUGUGCAUCGUGUGUUUUGGGUGUGGGGGUGCAUGGCAUCUGUAACGUUAAAAGACAAACCGUUCUCAACUGGGAAGAGAGGAAGAGGCGUAUUCUUUGGCUGUUAAAUCAUUUGGCCAAACACGUAGCAGUUCUGAAGUGGGUGGGGCCAUGGCAACUCUAAAGUAUUGAUUCUUUGUCUAUUGUAUCAGCGAAUAACCCUCUCUAGAAGUGACCAUACGCCUCUUUGUGCUUUCCUUUCGUAAGUAAAGUUAAGCCCAAGGGGAAAUACAUAAACCGGGGGAGUGAGAUGGCUUUUUAGGGAUAUAAGUCGUUGUAGAGUGCCUGGAAGAAAAGAAAUGGAUGAAGUAAAAUCUAAAGAUGAAUUUGGUUCCCGUGUAUUCGUUAAAAAAAUGGUCUAGAAGGACCUUCGUCUCUGACGAUGAUGUUACUUCGAGCAAACUUUUAUUUUUAUAAGUAAGCUAAGGAAAUGUUAAAUUCGGAGGGUCUUUAAUCUCUGAUGUGACAUAUUUGUUCCACAUAUUUGUGUGGAAUAUAAAAUUAAAGUGGGAGAAAGUUACGUAUCUUUAAAGUAUAAUUGUACCUUUACUAAACAUGUUUUUUUUUCUCUCCUCUUUUUAAGGGUGACCAUCGACUUUUUUCUCCACUGUUCCAUGUCCAUGUAAAAGUGACUUGUAAUAUAGCCAAGAAAAGAUGGAAAUUUUUCGUUUCAACUUAAGGAGUGGGGCUGUUACUAUUAAUAGCUUUAUUUAUCAUGACCUAAGCAAUGCAUUUGUUAGCGCUGGAUCAUAAUCUGUUAUGUUAGGAAUUUUGUACUUAGUUUAACUACAGACUCUGUAUAUUAAUUAAUUAAUCAAUUAAUUAGCAUAAAUUAAAUUAGCAUUCACUGU